UACAGAGGGUGCAAGCGUUGUUCGGAAUUACUGGGCGUAAAGCGCGUGUAGGUGGCGAUGUAAGUCGGGUGUGAAAUCCCUCGGCUCAACCGAGGAAGUGCACUCGAUACUGUGUCGCUUGAGUGUUGGAGGGGAUGGCGGAAUUCCCAGUGUAGAGGUGAAAUUCGUAGAUAUCGGGAGGAACACCGGUGGCGAAGGCGGCGACCUGGGUAGAUACUGACGCUGAGGUGCGAAAGCGUGGGGAGCAAACGGG
rnacentral:rRNA from 1 species